UGCGUAGGUGGUCCGUUAAGUCCGUUGUGAAAUCCCUGGGCUCAACCCAGGAACUGCUUCGGAUACUGGCGGACUUGAGGCCAGUAGAGGUCACUGGAACUGACGGUGGAGCGGUGAAAUGCGUAGAUAUCGUCAGGAACGCCGGUGGUGAAGACGGGUGACUGGGCUGGUUCUGACACUGAGGCACGAAAGCGUGGGGAGCGAACGGGAUUAGAUACCCCGGUAGUCCACGCCCUAAACGAUGCAGACUAGAUUGCAGCGGGUUACACCCCGUUGCGGUCGGAGCGAAAUUGUUAAGUCUGCCACCUGGGAAGUACGGUCGCAAGGCUAAA
rnacentral:rRNA from 1 species